UUAAGUUCAGCGGGUAGUCCUACCUGAUUUGAGAUCAAACGUUAAAAAGCUGUCCUCGCUGAGGAGAGACAUUUGUGAGCCCCAGCGAACCUCCGUGACUGAAGGUUACCUGGUGGAAAACCACAAGCGUAGAUAGUUAUCACACCUGUGAUGCCACCAAACACUGGCAAGCUGAUUCAUUUAAGAGGAGCCGACCAUAG
rnacentral:misc_RNA from 1 species